CGGAGAGGUGGCAGAGUGGUCGAUUGCGCUCGACUUGAAAUCGAGUGUGGCAGAGAUGUCACCGUGGGUUCAAAUCCCACCCUCUCCGU
rnacentral:tRNA from 1 species